AUUGAACGCUGGCGGCAGGCUUAACACAUGCAAGUCGAACGGUAACAGGAAGAAGCUUGCUUCUUUGCUGACGAGUGGCGGACGGGUGAGUAAUGUCUGGGAAACUGCCUGAUGGAGGGGGAUAACUACUGGAAACGGUAGCUAAUACCGCAUAACGUCGCAAGACCAAAGAGGGGGACCUUCGGGCCUCUUGCCAUCGGAUGUGCCCAGAUGGGAUUAGCUAGUAGGUGGGGUAACGGCUCACCUAGGCGACGAUCCCUAGCUGGUCUGAGAGGAUGACCAGCCACACUGGAACUGAGACACGGUCCAGACUCCUACGGGAGGCAGCAGUGGGGAAUAUUGCACAAUGGGCGCAAGCCUGAUGCAGCCAUGCCGCGUGUAUGAAGAAGGCCUUCGGGUUGUAAAGUACUUUCAGCGGGGAGGAAGGGAGUAAAGUUAAUACCUUUGCUCAUUGACGUUACCCGCAGAAGAAGCACCGGCUAACUCCGUG
rnacentral:rRNA from 1 species